rnacentral:rRNA from 1 species
GGGGAAUAUUGCGCAAUGGGGGCAACCCUGACGCAGCAACGCCGCGUGCGGGAAGAAGGCGUCCGCGUCGUAAACCGCUUUCAGCAGGGAAGACAUCGACGGUACCUGCAGAAGAAGCCCCGGCUAACUACGUGCCAGCAGCCGCGGUAACACGUAGGGGGCGAGCGUUAUCCGGAUUCAUUGGGCGUAAAGCGCGCGCAGGCGGCCGCUCAAGCGGGACCUCUAAUCCCGGGGCUCAACCCCGGGCCGGGUCCCGAACUGGGCGGCUCGCGUCAGGUAGGGGGAGGCGGAAUUCCCGGUGUAGCGGUGGAAUGCGCAGAUAUCGGGAGGAACACCGACGGCGAAGGCAGCCUCCUGGGCCUCGACGGACGCUGAGGCGCGAAAGCCGGGGGAGCGAAC